rnacentral:rRNA from 1 species
AUGACGGGAACCCGCACAAUUAGUGGAGCAUGUGUUUUAAUUCGAAGAUACGCGCAGUACCUUACCAACACUUGACAUGUUCGUCGCGACUCUAAGAGAUUAGAGUUUUCGGUUCGGCCGGACGAAACACAGGUGCUGCAUGGCUGUCGUCAGCUCGUGUCGUGAGAUGUUGGGUUAAGUCCCGCAACGAGCGCAACCCUCACAUUUAGUUGCCAUCAUUUAGUUGGGCACUCUGAAAGAACUGCCAGUGAUAAGCUGGAGGAAGGUGGGGAUGACGUCAAGUCCUCAUGGCCCUUACGUGUUGGGCUACACACGUGCUACAAUGGCAUUUACAAUAGAAAGCAAGAUGGCGACAUCAAGCAAAUCCUAAAAAGAUGCCUCAGUUCGGAUUGUACUCUGCAACUCGAGUACAUGAAGCUGGAAUUACUAGUAAUCGCGGAUCAGCGCGCCGCGGUGAAUACGUUCCCGGGUCUUGACACACCGCCCGUCACACGUUGGGGUUGGUUCUACCUUAAGGCAAAGAUUAUAAACUUGACCACGGUAUAGUCAGCGA